CCCGUCACACCAUGGAAGUUGAUUGCACCAGAAGUGGGUAGCCUAACUGCAAGGAGGGCGCUCACCACGGUGUGCUCAAUGACUGGGGUG
rnacentral:rRNA from 1 species